UCAUUAGUCCUUAUUUUCUGCUCACUUUGAAUGCACACACUCCUUCACUUAGAGCCCAGGAGUGCUAAUAAAAGCAUCAGCAGUGUGGGUUCUCUCCAGCCGGGUCUGGCUUUAGUUCAGGUCUCACAGUAGGUGAACAAAAGCCCGGCUGUACAAUUGCCCAGACUAGGCAGACUGCUCCUCAGUUUUGCAGGAGUCGGAGCUGUGGAAAGCAGCAAAGACAGGGAUUGUUGGAUUCCCAGCAUUGUACCUCCGAGGAACCUGAUCCUGUGUUCUAUUCAGCAAGUAGGAUCCUGCUACUGAAGGCUUUAUAAUUCUGUAAUGGUCUCUGUUUGUUGCAAAAUGAAGCUUCUCUCCUAAAAAAUGUCUGGCAGUGUCUUCUAUGAAGCAAGAACACUGAAGGAUCAUUCAUCUUUUA